GAUGAACGCUGGCGGCGUGCUUAACACAUGCAAGUCGAACGGGAAACCUUUUAUUGAAGCUUCGGCAGAUUUAGAUUGUUUCUAGUGGCGGACGGGUGAGUAACGCGUGGGUAACCUGCCUUAUACAGGGGGAUAACAGUCAGAAAUGACUGCUAAUACCGCAUAAGCGCACAGAGCUGCAUGGCUCGGUGUGAAAAACUCCGGUGGUAUAAGAUGGACCCGCGUUGGAUUAGCUAGUUGGUGAGGUAACGGCCCACCAAGGCGACGAUCCAUAGCCGGCCUGAGAGGGUGAACGGCCACAUUGGGACUGAGACACGGCCCAGACUCCUACGGGAGGCAGCAGUGGGGAAUAUUGCACAAUGGGGGAAACCCUGAUGCAGCGACGCCGCGUGAAGGAAGAAGUAUCUCGGUAUGUAAACUUCUAU
rnacentral:rRNA from 1 species